rnacentral:rRNA from 1 species
UGGGGAAUAUUGCACAAUGGGCGCAAGCCUGAUGCAGCCAUGCCGCGUGUGUGAAGAAGGCCUUCGGUUGUAAAGCACUUUCAGCGAGGAGGAAGGUGGUGAGCUUAAUACGCUCAUCAAUUGACGUUACUCGCAGAAGAAGCACCCGCUAACUCCGUGCCAGCAGCCGCGGUAAUACGGAGGGUGCAAGCGUUAAUCGGAAUUACUGGGCGUAAAGCGCACGCAGGCGGUUUGUUAAGUCAGAUGUGAAAUCCCCGGGCUCAACCUGGGAACUGCAUUGAAACUGGCAGCUAGAGUCUCGUAGAGGGGGUAGAAUUCCAGGUGGUAGCGGUGAAAUGCGUAGAGAUCUGGAGGAAUACCGGUGGCGAAGGCGGCCCCCUGGACGAAGACUGACCGCUCAGGUGCGAAAGCGUGGGG